rnacentral:rRNA from 1 species
UAGGGAAUCUUCCGCAAUGGACGCAAGUCUGACGGAGCAACGCCGCGUGAGUGAAGAAGGAUUUCGGUUCGUAAAACUCUGUUGUUAGAGAAGAACAGCGCAUAGAGCAACUGUUAUGCGUGUGACGGUAUCUAACCAGAAAGCCACGGCUAACUACGUGCCAGCAGCCGCGGUAAUACGUAGGUGGCAAGCGUUGUCCGAAUUUAUUGGGCGUAAAGCGAGCGCAGGCGGUCAAUUAAGUCUGAUGUGAAAGCCCCCGGCUCAACCGGGGAGGGUCAUUGGAAACUGGUUGACUUGAGUGCAGAAGAGGAGAGUGGAAUUCCAUGUGUAGCGGUGAAAUGCGUAGAUAUAUGGAGAAACACCAGUGGCGAAGGCGACUCUCUGGUCUGUAACUGACGCUGAGGUUCGAAAGCGUGGGUAGCAAACAGG